GGUGGAGGUGACAUCCUAUACCCAUUUCCUAGUCAAGAUAAGAUACGCGGGGGUGACUUGCCUAGUUAGUCGAUCGGCCACUGAGCUUUUACUAAGUGUGGACAGUUACCAGGGAAGCUCUUUUGGGGUGCACGGGAACAAUGAAGCUUGGAGGGAGCCCCUAAUAUGCUUUUUUAUUACGCCCCCAGUUCCUUCUCCUGAAAGGAAAACAGAAGCCCCCAAACCCAGACAACACAUACACACAUCCCUCCGGACCCACAGUAGGUAGGGUCGCGUCUCCUAGCCUCCCAUCCAAAGAAGAGUCCCAUUGGAUUUCAAAGCGUGGCCAGUAUUUCCUACCUGGUUGGGACUUAAACAUUCUAAAGACAACUUCCCAUGCCUUACCUUCAACUAGAGUGUUCACAUUGGAAAGACCUAUUUUCUCAGGAGCCUGUGCCCUUCCUUCUUGUCUCUGGGUCGAAGUUCAUGAAGAAGCCAAUACCCAGGGAGCUGUGCUUAGGAGUGGGGCCCAAGAUGUCUCCACCUUUCAGAAGGUGGCCCCAGUGGUGGCUUGGUGGCCAGAAGUGACUGCAGGACCAUGGCAGGACAUCAGGCUCCUCCACCUGCCCCUAGUGGGCAAGGGUUGGACAUCCCCCCUCCCAAACCCCCACUCCUGAGCACAGCCAAUGUGUGCACACCAAAGGGAAUAUAUGACACACUCCACCCUGUCCACUACCUGCCACUCUCAUGCACAGGGCUGGGAAUACCAGUGGCUAUGUUUGUGGGUUGGCCCUAACCCCAGGCAGACAUUCUGAGUUGGGUAGUGUUCAUAGUCUCCUCUAACAAGGAACUUGCCCAAUGCUGGAAGAAGCUUAGAAACAGCAGAGACUGGGUUCCUGGGAUAAGCGUGGACAAGUCCCACAGACCCCUCAUAUCUACCGGCCAAGCCACGGGCACCGCUGGCCUGUGCACCUACGUACAAUGAAAACAUGGCUGGCUCUCGCCGGGGCUCAUCCUUUCUGACUUGAAUGUCGCAUGUCCCCACAGACACUUAUUUCAUUCUAAUAAAAGCUUACUGUUUUCUUGGUACCCAAACACUAAGGAAUCUUAGUGGGGAUCUCAGUGCCAGGAUACUUGAGUCCAGGUAUGGUUGAGGUAGCCAAGUGAGUGGCCAACAGAGAGUACAUGAGCCAUGGAACUGCUACAGAAGUCAAAGUCAGCGGUGAAUGUAUGUUGUGUGCGGUUAUUUUAUGGAGUUCAAACCGUCCUGUCUGUUUGGCCUCAUGAGAAGAUUGUAGUGAGGCUCCUGGGGGAGAGUGAACGGUCCAUCCCUUCAGCUCAUUUUGGUGUGUGAAAUGUGCAGGUGAAAUGUGCACCAGUCCAAUGUGGUUAGGAUGAAAAUUUUAAGGCAAAAAGAAAAAAAAAAUCAGCUGGUUUUCACCUCCCUUAUUCUAGCCCGGUCUGGCCAUAUCCGCUGCUCCAUUGAACUGGAAGAAUAUGGUGUGGCCAAGGGUCUUGGGACAUGGUGACCAAGGAGCCUUCCUGGACCAUCCUGUUACAUGUGCUGAAUGGCUAGCAAACGAGCCCGGGGGGGAUGAAAAGACCACGUCCAGAAAUGUUCUCAGGGCGCUGGCGUGUCCAGCAGGGUCAGGAAGCGAGAUUUAGGAAGAGACAUCAUGCAAACUAAUUUAUUGACAAGUGUUACCUUUGUGUUCCUUGACAAGCUUUUUUGCGUUUGGGACUUAUUUAACCAUUUGAGAAGUUAUAAUAUAUCUUUGUAUUUAAGGUAUUUACUGCUUUGUUUGUGCCUUGCAGCUUCGAUGGGUUUAAGGUUCACAGAGGGUCAUGAUACUAAUGAGGGCUGGUUUAUUAGCAAACCUGAGCAGUUAAGUGGUUUCUCCAGGACAAUUUUUUUACUUCUACUGAACACGGAGCCAUUAUUAAAAGAGUUAUGUGUGGAUUUUCAUUAUGUAAAUUGUAUAUAUUUUUUUGCUUGUUCGAGGUUCUAUUUUUCUAAUAGUCUUCUUACAGUUUCUUACAAUGACAUUAGAUUAAGUCCGAUACUAACUGUAAAUCAAGCUGGUCUCUGUUGGAUUCCCGUGGAUUAAUUCUAUUUUAUUUUAAGGCCAAGUGCAGGUGUCAUCCAUCACCCUUUUAAGAAAUGUGAAACUUGUGUCUCCCCUCGUGGCUGAAUACAUUGUACACUGGCAAACCCCCUCCCAUCCCUGUGUGUCAGAGCUAUUUUGUGGUACAUUGUGUCAUGCUUCUGCAGAUGCUAAUAAAUCCUGUCUGGCUUCCAUGCA